UGGGAAUUUUGGACAAUGGGCGCAAGCCUGAUCCAGCCAUGCCGCGUGCGGGAAGAAGGCCUUCGGGUUGUAAACCGCUUUUGUCAGGGAAGAAAUCUUCUGAGUUAAUACCUCGGGAGGAUGACGGUACCUGAAGAAUAAGCACCGGCUAACUACGUGCCAGCAGCCGCGGUAAUACGUAGGGUGCAAGCGUUAAUCGGAAUUACUGGGCGUAAAGCGUGCGCAGGCGGUUUUGUAAGACAGAGGUGAAAUCCCCGGGCUCAACCUGGGAACUGCCUUUGUGACUGCAAGGCUUGAGUGCGGCAGAGGGGGAUGGAAUUCCGCGUGUAGCAGUGAAAUGCGUAGAUAUGCGGAGGAACACCGAUGGCGAAGGCAAUCCCCCUGGGCCUGCACUGACGCUCAUGCACGAAAGCGUGGGGAGCAAAACAGGAUUAGAUACCCUGGUAGUCCACGCCCU
rnacentral:rRNA from 1 species